GACGGGGGAGGCAAGCGUUAUCCGGAAUCACUGGGCGUAAAGCGUCUGUAGGUGGUGAUGCAAGUCACUGGUGCAAAACUCUGGCUCAACCGGAGGAAGGCCAGUGAAACUGCAUGACUAGAGCGUGGGAGAGGUAGAAGGAAUUCCCUGAGUAGCGGUGAAAUGCGUAGAUACAGGGAAGAACACCGGAGGCGAAAGCGUUCUACUGGAACACAACUGACACUGAGAGACGAACGCUAGGGGAGCGAAUGGG
rnacentral:rRNA from 1 species